UGCAGGCUGCAACUCGCCUGCACGAAGUUGGAAUUGCCAGUAAUCGUGGAUCAGCAUGCCACGGUGAAUACGUUCCCGGGUCUUGUACACACCGCCCGUCACACCAUGGGAGCCGGUAAUACCCGAAGUCAGUAGUCUAACCGCAAGGAGGACGCUGCCGAAGGUAGGAUUGGCGACUGGGGUGAAGUCGUAACAAGGUACC
rnacentral:rRNA from 1 species